AAUCAACGCUGGCGGCGUGCCUAACACAUGCAAGUCGAACGCGAAAGUCCCGCAAGGGAUUAGUAGAGUGGCAAACGGGUGAGUAACACGUGGGUGACCUGCCUUCGAGUGGGGGAUAACGUCCCGAAAGGGACGCUAAUACCGCAUAACAUCCUGCCUUUUAAGAGGUGGAGAUCAAAAGCUGGGGACCGUAAGGCCUGGCGCUGGAAGNGGGGCCCGCGUCUGAUUAGCUAGUUGGUGAGGAACGGCUCACCAAAGGCAACGAUCAGUAUCCGGCCUGAGAGGGCGGACGGACAC
rnacentral:rRNA from 1 species